UGCCAAGCAGACUCUCAAAAUGAUCAGACAAGGCAAAGUGAAACUGGUCAUCCUCACCAAAAACUGCCCAGAGUUGAGGCAAUCUGAAAUAGAGCACUAGGCCAUGUUGGCCAAAACCGGUGUCCAUCACUACAGUGGCAAUAAUAUUGAAUACUGCACAGUGUGUGGAAAAUACUCCAGAGUAUGCAUAUUGGCUAUCAUUGAUCCAGGUGAUUCUGAUAUCAAUAGAAGCAGGCCAGAAAAAACUGGUAAAAAGUAA